rnacentral:rRNA from 1 species
UGCAGUCGACGAUGAGCCCUUCGGGGUGGAUUAGUGGCGAACGGGUGAGUAACACGUGGGCAAUCUGCCCUGCACUCUGGGACAAGCCCUGGAAACGGGGUCUAAUACCGGAUAUGACCAUCUUGGGCAUCCUUGAUGGUGUAAAGCUCCGGCGGUGCAGGAUGAGCCCGCGGCCUAUCAGCUUGUUGGUGAGGUAAUGGCUCACCAAGGCGACGACGGGUAGCCGGCCUGAGAGGGCGACCGGCCACACUGGGACUGAGACACGGCCCAGACUCCUACGGGAGGCAGCAGUGGGGAAUAUUGCACAAUGGGCGAAAGCCUGAUGCAGCGACGCCGCGUGAGGGAUGACGGCCUUCGGGUUGUAAACCUCUUUCAGCAGGGAAGAAGCGAAAGUGACGGUACCUGCAGAAGAAGCGCCGGCUAACUACGUGCCAGCAGCCGCGGUAAUACGUAGGGCGCAAGCGUUGUCCGGAAUUAUUGGGCGUAAAGAGCUCGUAGGCGGCUUGUCACGUCGAUUGUGAAAGCUCGGGGCUUAACCCCGAGUCUGCAGUCGAUACGGGCUAGCUAGAGUGUGGUAGGGGAGAUCGGAAUUCCUGGUGUAGCGGUGAAAUGCGCAGAUAUCAGGAGGAACACCGGUGGCGAAGGCGGAUCUCUGGGCCAUUACUGACGCUGAGGAGCGAAAGCGUGGGGAGCGAACAGAUUAGAUACCCUGGUAGUCCACGCCGUAAACGGUGGGAACUAGGUGUUGGCGACAUUCCACGUCGUCGUGCCGCAGCUAACGCAUUAAGUUCCCCGCCUGGGGAGUA